rnacentral:rRNA from 1 species
UACCCGCUGAACUUAAGCAUAUCAAUAAGCGGNAGGAAAAGAAACCAACAGGGAUUGCCUCAGUAACGGCGAGUGAAGCGGCAACAGCUCAAAUUUGAAAUCUGACCCCUUCGGGGCCCGAGUUGUAAUUUGUAGAGGAUGCUUCGGGUGCGGCGCCGGUCUAAGUUCCUUGGAACAGGACGUCAUAGAGGGUGAGAAUCCCGUAUGCGACCGGCGGCCAACCCCGUGUGAAGCCCCUUCGACGAGUCGAGUUGUUUGGGAAUGCAGCUCAAAAUGGGUGGUAAAUUUCAUCUAAAGCUAAAUACCGGCCAGAGACCGAUAGCGCACAAGUAGAGUGAUCGAAAGAUGAAAAGCACUUUGGAAAGAGAGUCAAACAGUACGUGAAAUUGUUGAAAGGGAAGCGCUUGCAACCAGACCUGCCCGCGGGCGAUCAGCCGUUAUUCUUAGCGGUGCACUCGUCCGCGAUCAGGCCAGCAUCGGUUCGGGCGGCCGGAUAAAGGCCUCGGGAAUGUAGCUCCCCCCGGGGAGUCUUAUAGCCCGGGGUGCAAUGCGGCCAGCCCGGACCGAGGACCGCGCUUCGGCUAGGAUGCUGGCGUAAUGGUUGUAAGCGACCCGUCUUGAAACACGGACC